rnacentral:misc_RNA from 1 species
AACGCACGAGACCUGCGGACCUGCGGAAGGAUCAUUACCGAGUGAGGGUUCCCUCGUGGGCCCAACCUCCCACCCGUGUUUACCGUACCCUGUUGCUUCGGCGGUUGCCCCCCCGGGGGUCCGCCGGAGACCAACUUGAACCCUGUAUGAGAGCAUUGCAGUCUGAGUCGAUUGAUACCAAUCAGUUAAAACUUUCAGCAACGGAUCUCU